AGUGAACGCUGGCGGCAGGCCUAACACAUGCAAGUCGAGCGGCAGCACAGCAGUAGCAAUACUGUGGGUGGCGAGCGGCGGACGGGUGAGGAAUGCAUCGGAAUCUGCCCUGUCGUGGGGGAUAACGUAGGGAAACUUACGCUAAUACCGCAUGAUCUGGAGACAGCAAAGCGGGGGAUCGCAAGACCUCGCGCGAUGGGAUGAGCCGAUGCCCGAUUAGCUAGUUGGCGGGGUAAUGGCCCACCAAGGCGACGAUCGGUAGCUGGUCUGAGAGGACGAUCCGCCACACUGGAACUGAGACACGGUCCAGACUCCUACGGGAGGCAGCAGUGGGGAAUAUUGGACAAAGGGGGGAACCCUGAUCCAGCCAUGCCGCGUGUGUGAAGAAGGCCUUUUGGUUGUAAAGCACUUUAAACGAGGAGGAGGCGCUCUAGGAUAAUACCCUAGAUGCGUGGACGUUACUCGCAGAAUAAGCACCGGCUAACUCUGUGCCAGAAGCCGCGGUAACAC
rnacentral:rRNA from 1 species